CCUACGGGGGGCUGCAGUGGGGAAUAUUGGACAAUGGGGGGAACCCUGAUCCAGCCAUGCCGCGUGUGUGAAGAAGGCCCUCGGGUUGUAAAGCACUUUCAGUGAGGAAGAACGCCUGGUGGUUAAUACCCAUCAGGAAAGACAUCACUCACAGAAGAAGCACCGGCUAACUCCGUGCCAGCAGCCGCGGUAAUACGGAGGGUGCGAGCGUUAAUCGGAAUUACUGGGCGUAAAGCGCGCGUAGGUGGCUUGAUAAGCCGGUUGUGAAAGCCCCGGGCUCAACCUGGGAACGGCAUCCGGAACUGUCAAGCUAGAGUGCAGGAGAGGAAGGUAGAAUUGCCGGUGUAGCGGUGAAAUGCGUAGAGAUCGGGAGGAAUACCAGUGGCGAAGGCGGCCUUCUGGACUGACACUGACACUGAGGUGCGAAAGCGUGGGUAGCAAACAGGAUUAGAUACCCUGGUAGUC
rnacentral:rRNA from 1 species